CCGAAGCCGCCGGGCCGGGCUGCGGCGGGAGCUGCCCGGCGCAGGGGUGGGGACUGGCCGCUUCCUUAAACGGCGCGGGACCGGCGGAGCGAGCCCGCACCGCCCCGGUGCGCCGGGCCGCGCCGACCCUCCCGGGACGCGGCCGCAACACGUGGAGCGAACUUUUGAGGGACGCGUGUCUGCGCCGGACGGGACUCUCGCCGCCCGCGACCGCAACGCUGCACGGAGCAGCUCGUCUCUCUCCGGUUUGAUGGCUCUGGGAGCAUUUCAACUGCUUUUCUUAAAGCUGAAUUCUUUAUAAAGGAGAAGUGACUACAAACCCUGAACUGAGUCCCAGGUCUGGCUUAACUUUGUAAGGCACAGUGACACACUGAGGCUGCUCCACUUAAGGUAUGGUAUGAACCAGGAGCUGAUCCCGUGGCUGUGGAAUGAGUGUUCACAUGGAGUCAUCCUGCUGUAGCUAUUGCAGCUGCUGUGUAAGCAAGUUCUAAAGGACAAUCCUAGUCCCAGUGACAGUGUGACAGAUAAGACAGACAGUGGGCACAAGGAAGGCACCGCUGUCAAUGAAGGAUGGAUUCUGUUCAACCCGCAGGGAACAAAGAAACUUGGGCUGCUCAAGGCCCCACAGAACUGUCCAGGAGUGUCCUUUGUGCCAGCUGAUUCCAGGAAUGUGACACUUUUGGAACUGUUCGUGUCAGAACUUCCUGCUUUGACACCUGUGUUUCAGAGACUGCCUCAUCAUAGGAAACCCCAAAUCUGCUGCUCCUCUCCACAAGGACUUCUGUAUCCAGCAACUCUCGUGUCUUCUUUGGAUACUGAAACGAGAUGAAAGGGCUUGAGUAUUUCCUUGGCAAGAUGGGUGGAUGGAAUUUAUUUAGUCUGUUCUGAUUCUGACACCUACAAGUCAACUGACCCAAUCACCUCUUCUGCUAACAGGCUGCAAAACAACACUCUACUACUGUGGAAUAUUCUUUGUGAUGAAAACAGGAGGAUUGGGAAUGGGGGUUUGUAACUUUUUUGAAUGAGUUUCUGUUACAAUUUUUAUCUUUAAUAUCAACACUUUAAAUAAGGACAUUUAUAUGUUAAAAACCACAUUUUUUAAACACGUUUUUUGCUCUGAAAUACUGGAAUACGCCUCCUCAGCCUCUUCCUACCUCAGCUCUGCCACUGUGAAGAGAAGCCACCCAUGGAUUUUAAGGUCAGAAGGAAAAGUCAGAACUUCUAACAGAGGAUGUGCACAGAACAACUCCUGCAGUUCAUCCUGCAGCCCAGACCCUGAUGAAUGGAUCUUUUUCUUAUGUGCUGUGGGAACUCUGCCUAUAGAAAUGUCUGAGAAGCUGUUCCAGGGCUUCAUAACCUUGUAUCUUGUUUCUUGUGGCAAGCUGCAAGUUGCCUGCUUUUCCUGGCCUCUGUGGACAAAACCCUCCAUGUGUGUGACUGCAUGUGGGAAAUAGGAGAGCACUGUGAUUUGGUGCUGGUUUUGUCAGAUCGUCUCCAAAGCAGCUCCCCCAGGUGUCACACUGCCUGUCAGAGAGGAGGGCUGGUGCAGCAGAGGUCUGUAGGAUCAUUUGGUAAGUGGCCAGGGGCUCACAUGAGUAUCCCUAGUGCACAUCCUGCAGUGGGAUCCAGCCUCCUGCAGUGGGAUCCAGCCCUGCUGGUCCCUCUUUAGCACUUGAGAACAUUGUCAGCAGACCAAAGUGCAUUUCUUAGUACCCACACUAAGCCUCUAAGACUUCAAGAACAAAUCUGACUAGACUGAAUUUUCUUUCUUUUUAAAGUUCAGUGCCACCUAACACCUCCAAUUUAGCUUGGGAAAAAACCAGGAAUACCUAAAAUAAAGGUGUUUUGAAAAGUA